rnacentral:rRNA from 2 species
GAUGAACGCUAGCUACAGGCUUAACACAUGCAAGUCGAGGGGCAGCAUUAUCUUAGCUUGCUAAGAUAGAUGGCGACCGGCGCACGGGUGAGUAACACGUAUCCAACCUUCCGGUUACUCGGGGAUAGGCUUUCGAAAGAAAGAUUAAUACCCGAUGUUGCGUAUCUUUCUCCUGAAAGAUACGCCAAAGGAUUCCGGUAACCGAUGGGGAUGCGUUCCAUUAGGCAGUUGGCGGGGUAACGGCCCACCAAACCUUCGAUGGAUAGGGGUUCUGAGAGGAAGGUCCCCCACAUUGGAACUGAGACACGGUCCAAACUCCUACGGGAGGCAGCAGUGAGGAAUAUUGGUCAAUGGACGGAAGUCUGAACCAGCCAAGUAGCGUGAAGGAUGACUGCCCUCUGGGUUGUAAACUUCUUUUAUACGGGAAUAACAUGAGGUACGCGUACCUUAUUGCAUGUACCGUUAUGAAUAAGCAUCGGCUAACUCCGUGCCAGCAGCCGCGGUAAUACGGAGGAUGCGAGCGUUAUCCGGAUUUAUUGGGUUUAAAGGGAGCGUAGGUGGGAUAUUAAGUCAGCUGUGAAAGUUUGGGGCUCAACCUUAAAAUUGCAGUUGAUACUGGUUUCCUUGAGUACGGUACAGGUGGGCGGAAUUCGUGGUGUAGCGGUGAAAUGCUUAGAUAUCACGAAGAACUCCGAUCGCGAAGGCAGCUCACCGGGCCGGAACUGACACUGAUGCUCGAAAGUGCGGGUAUCAAACAGG